AGCUGCCCCAGCUGCAGAGCUGACCUCUCUGUCCCCAGAAGCCCUUUUUUCAUCAGCUGGAUCAAUUUACUUCAGCUACAGUGUCCUCACAAGCAGGGACUGAAUUAUGACUCGUGGAAAUCCCCUCUGCAUCAAGGAAUCAGCUCAGCCAAGACCAGCACUGGCUUCCAGGGACAGAGAGGUGACCACUUACUUGGAAACCUGCAAGGAGGAGCACAGGCCCACUCUGCCACGGACCACUAGACCUAGAUUUACGACUGCCUCUAUCCUCUGUGUCUUCCACACAGUGCAUCGCUGUGGGUGACUAUAGGAGCCAAAUCAGAUGUCCUUCACACCCUCUGAAGCUACUCUUAUGAUGAGCCAGAAUAUUCUGCAUCAACCCAAGCAUGUGAGAGAAUCUGCCAAGUUACCUGAUAUUCUUAGUCAGAAGGUCAUCAACUUCUUCAACAGAAGUUAUGUGUUUAGGUGCCACCAUAUUUUCAAAGGAGUCCUUUACACAGGAAAAAACUAAGACUCAAUGAGUUAGAACAUGGCUGUCACAUUUCUUUUUAAGAUCUAGGGAGCAAAUUUGGAAGAAGGAUGACUUUGAGUGCCAAGUCUGUGCCAUCUACUCAACUUCAUCCUUGUACUAUUAAAAAAAAAAAAAAGGUAUUGAACAUAC